CUUCAUAUUGAUACAUGAGAGGGGCAGGGCAGUACUGGGUAGAGAAGGGCAGGGUCCCUGGUGAGGGCCCACCCUCAGGCCUGUGCCCACGGACUGGACCUAAGUGAGGACAGGCACUCCUGCUUUCACACCCAAAUGUUGCAUUUUCCAAGACCACUCUGGCCCACCACACCCCUGCAUUCUGUGCCCAUAAAAACCCCAAGAUGCUAGUGGGCAUACACAUAAGUGGCUGGACGUCAAGAGGGAUACACUAGCAGAAGAAAACACUGGCAAAUGCCAGCAGGCCAUCAACAGAAGCAUGAUGCAGACACCCAGGGGAAUUCGGUUGGAGGAGAGUCCAGCCUCUGGGUGGCCCAACUUCAGGGGAAGACCACCUUCCCACUCCAUACCCCUCUGGCCUCCUCAUCUACCUCUCUGAGAGCUGCCUUCACUCAGUAAAACCUUGCACCCAUCCUCCAAGCCCACAUGUGAUCUGAUUUUUCCAGUACACAGGGCAAGAACCCCAAGAUACAGAAAGCCUUCUGCCCUUGUGAUAAGGCAGAAGGUCUAAUUGAGCUAAUUAACACAAGCCACCUGCAGAUGUCAAAAUGGAAACAGCACACUGUAACACUCACCCACCGUAGCUUCGGGAGCUGUAAACAAUCCACCCUAGAUGCACUGUGGGGUCAGAACCCCAUGACUUUCCCCUCUGCAUGUUCCACCUAGGGGUUUGAGCAGUGGGACACAGAAGAAGUGAGCCGCACCCCUAGCGCAUGCCCUGUGAGGGGGAUAAGGGAAAACUUUUCCUGUUUCAUCACCAUGUGCCGCAAUAUAUACAUUUAUUAUCUGUCACCUUCCCCACAGGAUGUAAGCCCCAUAAAGUUUCUGUCUGCUUUAUUCAUAGCUGUUUGCUGGCCCGUAGUAGGUGUUCUGUAAAUAGUUGAUUGUGAAAUGUUGAAUGAAAAUGAGAUGAACAUAUAUUUUACAAUCAGUUCCCAGCCCACAUUUAGAGUCUCCAGCCCUGCUCCCCCACUCCACCCCGUACCAGCUUCUUCACACAUGAAAUUUGCCACAGGCUUUCAGGUCUCUAUUAUUUGGGGUAAACUCGUCUCUGCCUGGGCCUGUCUUCUUUCUCCCCUGCACAGAGUAUGCCCCCUCUGUUCCUUUGGCAUUUGGAACACAGUUCUCUUUGGGCAUGGAACACUGUAAUUACCUGUUUAUUUGGAAGGUGGUAGAAAGUCCUGGAUAUGAGUAUGGGAUCUAGACUCAGGUUGCUAAGGUUUAAAUAACGACUUUCAUCAUUCUAACUGUGACUUUGGUCUUAUUGCAUAAUCUGUUUCUCUCAGAGAAAUAAUGUGUGCUCAUAGGUAAUAAUGAGAAGGAUGAUGGUAACUAUUUACAGAGUAGGGCCCGACACAUAGUAAGUGCUCAGUGAAUGCUAGCAAGGGUGGCAAUGCUGAUGUUCUUUUCCAUGAGUGUGAGUAGAUCAUGGACAAAAAUCCUUCUUUGAGUAUUCAUUCUCUCUUUUUUUCUUUCAUUUCUCUCUCUCUCCCCCUCUUUCAUUCAUCCACUGUCAUCUAUGCAGGUACCAUAUUAGAUGUCAUUUAUAAAUACAUAGAAAGAAUUUUAGUAUAAUGUAAAAAGUAUGCUAAUAGAGGCAGAAACAGUUUGGUGCUUUGAGAGUUGUCUUUGUGGGUGAAAAUACUAUGUGAGCUAAGGACUUGGUGUCCUGAAGGGCAAGUAGAAUAUAGAUUGAGGUCAUUUCAUUUAAAAAGUGGUAAUUAUAUUAUUUUGUAAUGAUAGUUUAAAAGGCCUAUUUAAUGAGGGAAUAAAAAUAUAUACAAAUAAAAUUUUAUUAUCUUUAGCUUGUGAAUAAACCUAAUACCAUUGUAAUUUAAGACCCACUAACUUUGAGUACGUGUUGGAAUUUAAUUCUAAAUCUAGUUAAGGCUAACUUCAGGCAAGCUUUUUAGCAGCCAAAGGAUAAAAAAGGUUCUCUUUCCUCCUCCUCUCUUCUUUGUCCUUCCACCAUUUUUACUCUCUAAACUUUCACUCAGUUUAUUCAAGUAGUUCCGUGAUCUUUUGAAAAUAGAUUCUGCAGUCAGUCUCAUACACAUUAAAAUCUUUAAUAAUUAACAUUUUUAUUUUUCAUAUUUUUAAUGAGUGGAAAUAAUUAUUUUUAAAUGUACCUGCUAUAGGCUGAAUGUUUGUGUUACCCCUAAAAUUCAUAUGUUGAAAUUCAAAUCCCCAAUAUGAUGGUAUUAGGCAGUAGGGCCUUUAGAAGUGAUUAGGUCAUGAGGGUGGAGCCCUCAUAAAUGAUUAAUACCCUUAUAAAAAUACAGGAGGUAGCACCUCUCUCUGCUCUCUGCUUUCUGCCUUCUGUUCUCUGCCAUGUGAGAAUGUGAUGAAAAGAUAGAUAUCUACAAACCAAGAAGCUGGUCCUUACCAAACACUGGAUCUACUGGCAUCUUCAUCUUGGACUUCCAGCCUCUAGAGCUGAGAAAUACA